CAGCGCACGCACACAGGGGAGCGCCCCUUCCCGUGUCCCGAAUGCGGCCGCUGCUUCAGCCUCAAGCAGAACCUGCUCACGCACCAACGCAUCCACAGCGGCGAGAAGCCGCACCAGUGCGCACAGUGCGGCCGCUGCUUCCGCGAGCCUCGCUUCCUGCUCAACCACGAGCGCACGCACGCGCGCAUGCCUGCACCGCACCCGCGGCGCCCCGGCGUCUUUGGGGAGCGGCGGCCCUUCUUCUGCCCGCGCUGCGGCAAGAGCUUCGCGCGCGAGGGCUCACUCAAGACCCACCAGCGCAGUCACGGCCAUGGGCCCGAGGGCCAAGCGGCCCAUUUAGGCCGUGUGCUAUGAUGCACACAGGACAGGUCCUGUCCCGGAGCCUCGUCCUGGAUGCCUGGAUUUGGCGCUGGGAGAUGGCCCCUGUCCUGGCAAGGUUUGCAGAGGAGGGAAAGGACUGGCUUGGGUUCUGCAGGGAUCCCGGACCCUCUGCUUCCGUUCCUGCCCCAGGACCCUGCGGCUGUCUGCACAUGACUGCUUUGGACCUUGCCUUGGCUUCCCUGCUCAGGCUCCUGCUGCCUAAAGCAGAGUUGGAAGUGACUUGGCCAGGCGGCUUUCUACAACCCCCAGGCCCAACCUCCACCCUCCCCACCCCAGGCCUCCUGGCUCCUGCACUCAUUCUCUGGUGUCCUUGAGAAGUCAUGUCACUUCAUGUCUCAGUUUGUUCAUCUAUGCACAGUGGGGUGUGCCUCGGGACCCGGAGGUGCAGACACAUCUGGCGCUGAGACAGGAACUGGGUUCUCCUAGGAACCUGUCUGGAGCUGCUUCCUGGCGUGCGGACACAACCCCAAACAGCCCUACCUCGGGAGGUGGACGGAGCUCAGAUGCUAAAUGUCAGUCUGCUGGAAGUGGCAGCCACAGUGCCUGGCUGCCUGGCUGCCUGGCCGUGGCGGUACAGUGAACUGGCCUCUCUGCUCCUGCCUGCUGUGCCACGUGGCACUGUGGUGGCUGGCCCCACUGGCUCUUCCUGAGAUGUGACCGACACCUGCAGACAUCCGUCUUCUGAACAGUGGGGUCAUGCAGUCCCUGGGAAUCUGACCAAGCCACGGGCCUUCUCCCCAGGAAAGCAUGCAGACUCACACAGACACAGUUUCUGGGGUGACUCCCACUCGAGGACUUCAAGGGCACAGAGCCUUAGCCCUGGGGCUGACUGCUGCCCUGUCCUUAGCCGCUGUUCACAGAGGCCUGAAUGGGGCCCCCACCCAGUCCACAUCAGCAUUUCUCCCCCUCCUGGCCAAGUCUCUUGCCUUUGUUCCGGAAUAAAUAAUGCUGAAGACA